AGAAAACAGAAAGUGCUCAGUAUUCUGCUAUUUUGAAUGAUUAUAUCCAUAGCACUGCUAUUCUUUUUAUUAUUUUUCAGGAUCUUCUAAAAGUGUCUUCUGGAAGACAUAAAGCCUGGAGAAACUGUCACUCAAGCAUCUCACUAGGAUGUUAGAUUGAAUAUUUGUUUCUUUUUUAAGUCACUGCUUUUCUGAGAUGGUUCCCAUGAUGGAUGUAUUUAGUAUGUAUCACAAAAUAUACAGUAAUUAAAAAUUAAGAAAAAAAUAAAUUUAAAAUGAAAAAGGCUCAAGAUACACUAUGUAUAUGUAGCACUUUCCCAAGAUGAAAGUAGUUACUAUGCAUCUUAACUUUACUAAUAAAAAUUGAAAAAUUAAAAGAAAAGACUGCUCAAACCUCUAGGUCCUUCCAGAAAGGAUCCCAUUGGAUGUAUAUUUACUGAAACAUGGAACUCUUCGUUCUAUGUAUGCCAGAGCAGUAAUUUAAAGUGGAAACCUUAUUUUAAAGUGCCCUUUGUUUUGUAUGUGUUUCUGAAAUUCUCCUUUCUCAGGGAGACUAGUGAAAUGGCAGCUUGCAGUGUUUUGUCCCUGCGGGCCUUAUUUAUGGGGCCACUCAUAUCUAAAUGAAAGUAGUAAAUAAUGUAGCUAAGUGGAAUGAAUAUAAUAAUUAUAUCAGUUGGAUGUAGCCCCUAAGCACACAUGCUAACAUUUGGGGGACUCUAGUUGAUGUCACUGAGUGGAAAAGAAACUUGGGUGAAUGAGCGUGCAACGUGCCUUCCCAAGUUCAGUCAUUUCACACUUGUGAGCUAACUUUGUAGCCCACCAUAAAUCAACAGGCACAGCUGCUUUCUACAUUACCCCUGUUAUUGUUUUCUAGUUGAGGAUCAGCAUGGCACUAGGGGUUUGGAUUUCCUUGACGUUAUCCACAUAACUGUUCCUCUAAGACUCACCUUUUCUCCAGAUGAGAGGUGAAAAGAAUUGUGAAAAAGUAGCAGUUCUCCAGUCAGUCUCCACACUAGUCUUUCACAGGGCACUUUCGUAAAUGACUCAACCCUGGACACCACCCAAAAACUUCAGAUUUCAUUAGUUUUAGAUGAAUCCAUGUGUCAGUAAAGGACACAUUGCCAUUAAUUCCCCUAAAAGUACUCCCCAUUGCUUUGAAAAUAGUUACCCAUCAUUCUUGCUACUUUUGGAAGCAGUUCUGGAAGUCUUUUUGUUUGUUUGUUUUUAUGUGAUAUGAUAAAAAAUAUGGUGAAGGUUGCUGCAGAGUGCCAUCCAACUGAAAGGCUGGCUUGUAAAACAUUACUGUGUGUCCUCACCCACCUUGUUCAUUGGAUCUGGUACCAUGCAACUUCUGGUUCUUCUCCAAAGUCAAAAUGACCAUGAAAGAUUACCAUUUUGAAUCUGUUCAGGACCUGGGCAACCAAGACAGCACAACUAAAUACAGUCACAAAAGAGGACUCCAGACAUGCUUCAGAAAGUGGCAAGAAUGACAGGGUGAGUGUGUUUGAAGUGAUGGGGAGUAUUCCGAGGGGGAUUAACAGCAAUGUGUCUUUUACUGUAAUAAAUUUUUAAAAUAUUUGCCUUAUGUUUUGUUUCACUCUCUGUCUUCUCUCUCUCUCUCUCUCUCUCUCUCUCUCUCUCUCUCACACACACACACACACACACACACACACACACACACACACUUUUUACUUCAUUCUGCAAGAUACCCAAAGUUGAGAACCACUUCCUCAGUCAUCAUACAAUCCAUGCUGGCUCUUUAAUAUUCUUAUCCACAUUCCUUUGUAGGUGAGAUCCAGGCAUAUCAUUGUUGUAUGUGUUUUUCGUCUUAACCAAUGAUGGCGCCAUUCAGUAUUCAAAAAAUAUACAGGACUAGGCAUGGUGGACCAGAUAAUGGAUUGGUCAUUUAAUUAUGAAGAUCAAGAUCACCUAGAAAUUGUUUCUGGCUUCUUCUCAUAUCUGUUAAAUUAUAAAUGGUGGUAGAUCCUAACACCCAGUGAUUUCAUAAGACCUCGAGGUAAUUCUGAUUGUAUACCAAAGUCUGAAAACGGCUCUCAUGGACUAUUGGUGAUACUGAGGAUUAGUCUCAUUUGAAAAAAUGAAUUGUUGGAGAAUUGUGAACUUUAUUUGCCUCUCUCCAUCUCAUUUCUUUUUCUGGUGUCUCUGUCUUUUUUCUUCCUCCAUGGCUCUUUUAUUUUCUCUAGGAAAUGGUAAUCAUUAUAAAGGGGUAAAUUCAACCUUAUGCUCGUUUAUGUUGUGCUUGUAUUGGAGUGUGUAUGCAGAAGUACUUCUGCCCACUCUGGCUUAAAGUAUUACUCCACAUCAUGGAUCUUCUUCAUUUGUCUUUUGUUAUGAGUGCAUUUCAUGUACUUUACAUUUAAUUUCAUUUAUUUUGGGGCUCUAUUACUAUAGAGCUCUAUAGUAUUUGUUCCUUGGCUUCAACCUCAAUGUUACAGAGCACUUUGAAUAUAUAGCACCAUAAGAGAAAGAC
rnacentral:lncRNA from 1 species